AUGCAGACCACAGGAUGACGCCACCUUCCUGCUUCCUCAAAAGAGCUGCGUCGACUGCGGAGCCAGCAGGAACCGCUCUGUCAUCACCAUUUCUCCAGCUCCUCCAAACCCGAGGCUGUGCGGCCUGCACGCCCCACCCCCGCUGACUCGGGUCCAAACAUGCAGCCUGGACGCCCAACAGAGCACGUGGGGGCUGCUGAAUGGCAGUGACGGGACCCGAGCAUCUCCUGAACCCGGGAGUGCUGGAGACCCUCAGCGACAGGGGGAACAGGCACACGCCCCCAGAACCAGGCUUGCGUCUUAGGGAGCUGCCUUCUGCUCCCUGCCUGGGCCCCAGGGCCCUCGAGCCUGCCGUCCAGUAUGUCCGGGUGGCAAGGCCUGUGAGUCUGCAGCCCCUGACUUGUGGUCCCUGGCGUGAUGACAGGCGAGGCUGGGUGGUCAGUCUCCCCUCUGCUUCUGGCUAUCUCUGGGAUAUGCUCGCGGGCCCCCUGCCGGCCGGGGCCCUGCCUGGCUGCUCCCCGCCUCACCGCAUGCUGGUAGGCCUGUACCUUGACCGUCUCCUGGAGGACUGCCAGCGCCCGCUCUUUCUCCUCCAGCAGCCACUGCAGCAGCCCAGGGUCCAGGCGGCGCCAGGGCUCCCUGGCUGGGCAACUGAAAGGCAGGCACGGGCCUUUAGCGGCAGGCGGGCCUUUAACGGGCGGGCGGGCGGCCAGUGGGGGCGGUGCAGAGGGUUCGAUCUGGAGCCCACCCUCUGUGUGCACAAUGGCCCAUCUUCUCUGGAGCCCUCUGACUCCAAUGGGUCUCCGCCCCAGAGCACGCCGAGGGGCUCAGCAGGCCUGCGAGACCACCGGACAUGUCAGCUCCAGCCUCCAGCUCAGGCAACGAGCCGUGUCCCAACAGAGCAGAGGCCACGGCCACGCGGCAGUAGCCACAUGUGCAGCCAUGCCGGGCGGGUCCUCGCUGGCCUCCACCUUGUCCCUCCCUGCACUCAGGAUGGGCUCGACGGCCCCAGGGGUGUUGACGACCACCUUUCGGAUCUCUUCCUCCGAGACGCUGAGACCCAGCUUGUGGAGGACGUUCCUGCAGAGGCAGUGGGUGCAGCCUGA
rnacentral:lncRNA from 1 species